UAGGGAAUCUUCCACAAUGGACGCAAGUCUGAUGGAGCAACGCCGCGUGAGUGAAGAAGGUCUUCGGAUCGUAAAACUCUGUUGUUAGAGAAGAACACGAGUGAGAGUAACUGUUCAUUCGAUGACGGUAUCUAACCAGCGAGUCACGGCUAACUACGUGCCA
rnacentral:rRNA from 1 species